GGUUAAGCGACUAAGCGUACACGGUGGAUGCCCUGGCAGUCAGAGGCGAUGAAGGACGUGCUAAUCUGCGAUAAGCGUCGGUAAGGUGAUAUGAACCGUUAUAACCGGCGAUUUCCGAAUGGGGAAACCCAGUGUGAUUCGUCACACUAUCAUUAACUGAAUCCAUAGGUUAAUGAGGCGAACCGGGGGAACUGAAACAUCUAAGUACCCCGAGGAAAAGAAAUCAACCGAGAUUCCCCCAGUAGCGGCGAGCGAACGGGGAGGAGCCCAGAGCCUGAAUCAGUGUGUGUGUUAGUGGAAGCGUCUGGAAAGGCGCGCGAUACAGGGUGACAGCCCCGUACACAAAAAUGCACAUACUGUGAGCUCGAUGAGUAGGGCGGGACACGUGGUAUCCUGUCUGAAUAUGGGGGGACCAUCCUCCAAGGCUAAAUACUCCUGACUGACCGAUAGUGAACCAGUACCGUGAGGGAAAGGCGAAAAGAACCCCGGCGAGGGGAGUGAAAAAGAACCUGAAACCGUGUACGUACAAGCAGUGGGAGCCUCUUAAUGGGGUGACUGCGUACCUUUUGUAUAAUGGGUCAGCGACUUAUAUUCUGUAGCAAGGUUAACCGAAUAGGGGAGCCGAAGGGAAACCGAGUCUUAACUGGGCGUUAAGUUGCAGGGUAUAGACCCGAAACCCGGUGAUCUAGCCAUGGGCAGGUUGAAGGUUGGGUAACACUAACUGGAGGACCGAACCGACUAAUGUUGAAAAAAUUAGCGGAUGACUUGUGGCUGGGGGUGAAAGGCCAAUCAAACCGGGAGAUAGCUGGUUCUCCCCGAAAGCUAUUUAGGUAGCGCCUCGUGAAUUCAUCUCCGGGGGUAGAGCACUGUUUCGGCAAGGGGGUCAUCCCGACUUACCAACCCGAUGCAAACUGCGAAUACCGGAGAAUGUUAUCACGGGAGACACACGGCGGGUGCUAACGUCCGUCGUGAAGAGGGAAACAACCCAGACCGCCAGCUAAGGUCCCAAAGUCAUGGUUAAGUGGGAAACGAUGUGGGAAGGCCCAGACAGCCAGGAUGUUGGCUUAGAAGCAGCCAUCAUUUAAAGAAAGCGUAAUAGCUCACUGGUCGAGUCGGCCUGCGCGGAAGAUGUAACGGGGCUAAACCAUGCACCGAAGCUGCGGCAGCGACGCUUAUGCGUUGUUGGGUAGGGGGAGCGUUCUGUAAGCCUGUGAAGGUGGCCUGUGAGGGUUGCUGGAGGUAUCAGAAGUGCGAAUGCUGACAUAAGUAACGAUAAAGCGGGUGAAAAGCCCGCUCGCCGGAAGACCAAGGGUUCCUGUCCAACGUUAAUCGGGGCAGGGGUGAGUCGACCCCUAAGGCGAGGCCGAAAGGCGUAGUCGAUGGGAAACAGGUUAAUAUUCCUGUACUUGGUGUUACUGCGAAGGGGGGGACGGAGAAGGCUAUGUUGGCCGGGCGACGGUUGUCCCGGUUUAAGCGUGUAGGCUGGUUUUCCAGGCAAAUCCGGAAAAUCAAGGCUGAGGCGUGAUGACGAGGCACUACGGUGCUGAAGCGACAAAUGCCCUGCUUCCAGGAAAAGCCUCUAAGCAUCAGGUAACAUUAAAUCGUACCCCAAACCGACACAGGUGGUCAGGUAGAGAAUACCAAGGCGCUUGAGAGAACUCGGGUGAAGGAACUAGGCAAAAUGGUGCCGUAACUUCGGGAGAAGGCACGCUGAUAUGUAGGUGAAGCGACUUGCUCGUGGAGCUGAAAUCAGUCGAAGAUACCAGCUGGCUGCAACUGUUUAUUAAAAACACAGCACUGUGCAAACACGAAAGUGGACGUAUACGGUGUGACGCCUGCCCGGUGCCGGAAGGUUAAUUGAUGGGGUUAGCGGUAACGCGAAGCUCUUGAUCGAAGCCCCGGUAAACGGCGGCCGUAACUAUAACGGUCCUAAGGUAGCGAAAUUCCUUGUCGGGUAAGUUCCGACCUGCACGAAUGGCGUAAUGAUGGCCAGGCUGUCUCCACCCGAGACUCAGUGAAAUUGAACUCGCUGUGAAGAUGCAGUGUACCCGCGGCAAGACGGAAAGACCCCGUGAACCUUUACUAUAGCUUGACACUGAACAUUGAGCCUUGAUGUGUAGGAUAGGUGGGAGGCUUUGAAGUGUGGACGCCAGUCUGCAUGGAGCCGACCUUGAAAUACCACCCUUUAAUGUUUGAUGUUCUAACGUGGGCCCCUUACCGGGGUUGCGGACAGUGUCUGGUGGGUAGUUUGACUGGGGCGGUCUCCUCCUAAAGAGUAACGGAGGAGCACGAAGGUUGGCUAAUCCUGGUCGGACAUCAGGAGGUUAGUGCAAUGGCAUAAGCCAGCUUGACUGCGAGCGUGACGGCGCGAGCAGGUGCGAAAGCAGGUCAUAGUGAUCCGGUGGUUCUGAAUGGAAGGGCCAUCGCUCAACGGAUAAAAGGUACUCCGGGGAUAACAGGCUGAUACCGCCCAAGAGUUCAUAUCGACGGCGGUGUUUGGCACCUCGAUGUCGGCUCAUCACAUCCUGGGGCUGAAGUAGGUCCCAAGGGUAUGGCUGUUCGCCAUUUAAAGUGGUACGCGAGCUGGGUUUAGAACGUCGUGAGACAGUUCGGUCCCUAUCUGCCGUGGGCGCUGGAGAACUGAGGGGGGCUGCUCCUAGUACGAGAGGACCGGAGUGGACGCAUCACUGGUGUUCGGGUUGUCAUGCCAAUGGCACUGCCCGGUAGCUAAAUGCGGAAGAGAUAAGUGCUGAAAGCAUCUAAGCACGAAACUUGCCCCGAGAUGAGUUCUCCCUGACUCCUUGAGAGUCCUGAAGGAACGUUGAAGACGACGACGUUGAUAGGCCGGGUGUGUAAGCGCAGCGAUGCGUUGAGCUAACCGGUACUAAUGAACCGUGAGGCUUAACCUU
rnacentral:rRNA from 1 species